CCGACGGUGAGGGGCGAAGGCUGGGGGCGCAAACCGGAGUAGAUACCCGGGUAGUCCCAGCAGUAAACGAUGCCAGCUAUGUGUUGCUGGAACCAUGGGUUCCAGCAGUGCCGAAGGGAAGCCGUGAAGCUGGCCACCUGGGAAGUACGGUCGCAAGGCUGAAACUUAAAGGAAUUGGCGGGGGAGUACCACAACCGGUGGAGCCUGCGGUUUAAUUGGAUACAACGCCGGGAAUCUUACCGGAGGGGACAGCAGUAUGAAGGCCAGGCUAAAGACCUUGCCAGAUCAGCUGAGAGGAGGUGCAUGGCCGUCGCCAGUUCGUGACCGUGAGGCAUCCUGUUUAGUCAGGCAACGAUCGAGACCCGCAGUCUUAUUUGCCAGCAUGCCCUUUGGGGUGUAUGGGUACAAUAAGACGACCGCCAGCGCUAAGCUGGAGGAAGGAGCGGGCUACGGUAGGUCAGCAUGCCCCGAAUCCUCCGGGAUACACGCGGGCUACAAUGGUCAGGACAAAAGGUACCGACCUCGAAAGAGUGAGGUAAUCCACAAACCUGAUCUCAGUCCGGAUCGAAGGCUGCAACUCGCCUUCGUGAAGAUGGAAUCGGUAGUAAUCGUGACUCAAAAUGUCACGGU
rnacentral:rRNA from 1 species